AAAAUGACUCUCGGCAAUGGAUAUCUCGGCUCUCGCAUCGAUGAAGAGCGCAGCGAAAUGCGAUACGUGGUGCGAAUUGCAGAAUCCCGUGAACCAUCGAGUCUUUGAACGCAAGUUGCGCCCGAGGCCAACCGGCUAAGGGCACGUCUGCCUGGGCGUCAAGC
rnacentral:rRNA from 1 species